UACGUAGGGUGCGAGCGUUAAUCGGAAUUACUGGGCGUAAAGCGUGCGCAGGCGGUUCGUUAAGUUCGUUGUGAAAGCCCCGGGCUCAACCUGGGAACUGCAAUGGAAACUGGCGGGCUUGAAUGCGGCAGAGGGGGGUGGAAUUCCGCGUGUAGCAGUGAAAUGCGUAGAGAUGCGGAGGAACACCGAUGGCGAAGGCAGCCUCCUGGGCCGACAUUGACGCUCAGGCACGAAAGCGUGGGGAGCAAACAGG
rnacentral:rRNA from 1 species